UCUGUCUACACAGUGAGGCAGGGUGCAA
rnacentral:piRNA from 1 species